CCGAAAGGUCGAAUGGGGAAAUUCAUUCGCGUUUCGAUUGUCGGCGUUGAACGGUUGUGUGACGACGGAGUACGCUUCGUCCGCACCUUCAGUUUUUCGAACCGACUUCGAACGCGUGCACUUUUCCCCUAGUAGGACGUCGCGAUCCGUUGGGUGUCGGUCUAAGGCCUGCGGUGGAGCUCGCGCGGACGUUUCGACGUUCUGCACGAACCCGCAGUGUCCCGAUCGACUCGCUCGACGGUAUAAAGAUGGCGCGGGGCCGCUACUCAGUUAGCGUUCGGCCUACGGCAAGCACGUACGGACGGCGAUCAGACCUGGUCGGAUCCCGUCCCGGACGACUGUUGGCACGUAGUGUUCUCGAACAGACCUCGUUGAAAUGCCGAUCUGCGACGCUAUAGCUUUGGGUACUUUCAGGACCCGUCUUGAAACACGGA
rnacentral:rRNA from 1 species